AUAAAAAGUUAAGCGAAUAGAAUGCUUACCGCCGAGAAGAUGAUGAUGCGUGGCACCGCCCCGUGCGUGUCACGCGCAGAGAGCACCUCCACAUCCUCCUCGCUCUCCGCGUUUCACGGCCGUGUGGCCUCGUACAAAUCGCACACAUCACCGUCAGUUGCGUACCUAG
rnacentral:SRP_RNA from 1 species